ACCGAGAGGCGCCAGCCGGCCCAGGCGCGCUGCGGGGGCGCGGGGGGAGACCGGUGCCCGGGCGGAAGCCGCUCCUGCUCGGCGGCCGCGCUGGAGAAGGAAGGGGACGGACAGUGGGAAGGAAGCAGAGUCCGGAAGGCUGGGACGGGGCCUUCCCUCCUGCCCUGGGCACCUCGCUGACCCCGUGGGUUGGCAGAAGCUUCUGGCCUGUGUUGACCGUGUAAUUAGCUGACUCAGUCCCACCUGCCACCAAAGUGGCCUUUCAGAGAUAGCUGUGACACACCCCUCGGCUGCUGGCUGCUCAGACGCCCUGAGGGCCAUCAGAAGUCCACCGCAGCCCUCCAGGUCCAACCCAGAGCCCCUUUGCCCAGGUGCCUUCUCUGCAGCCACGGAGAGUCCGGCUUGAUCCUACUUCACACUUUGGACUUCACCUCCUCCUGGAGCCACGGCAGCCCCUUGCCACUUUGUGCCCCCCAACCCCGGACCCCGCACUCACAGGCCAGGGAGUCGGUCUGGCACUUUGCCUCCCACAACCCUCAUCCGGAGGUCACCCGGUCCCAGGAGCACAGAAAUGAGUGAAAUGUGUCCCUAGCCGCCAGGGCCUGGUG